UACGUAGGGUGCGAGCGUUAUCCGGAAUUAUUGGGCGUAAAGAGCUGUAGGCGGUUUGUCGCGUCUGCUGUGAAAUCCCAGGGCUUAACCCUGGGCUCAGUGGGUACGGGCAGACUAGAGUGUGGUAGGGGAGACUGGAAUUCCUGGUGUAGCGGUGAAAUGCGUAGAUAUCAGGAGGAAUACCGGUGGUGUAGACGGCUCUCUGGAC
rnacentral:rRNA from 1 species